rnacentral:rRNA from 1 species
UCAGCCCUAAACACAAAUAAUUUUAAAAACAAAAUUAUUCGCCAGAGUACUACCGGCAACAGCCUAAAACUCAAAGGACUUGGCGGUGCUUUAUACCCUUCUAGAGGAGCCUGUUCUAUAAUCGAUAAACCCCGAUAAACCUCACCAAUUCUUGCUAAUACAGUCUAUAUACCGCCAUCUUCAGCAAACCCUAAAAAGGAACAAAAGUAAGCGCAAUCAUAACAUAUAAAAACGUUAGGUCAAGGUGUAACCUAUGAAAUGGGAAGAAAUGGGCUACAUUUUCUACUUCAAGAAAACCCACAUACGAAAGUUAUUAUGAAACUAAUAACCAAAGGAGGAUUUAGUAGUAA